rnacentral:rRNA from 1 species
UACGUAGGGGGCAAGCGUUGUCCGGAAUCAUUGGGCGUAAAGCGCGUGUAGGCGGCCCGAUAAGUCCGCUGUGAAAGUCCAGGGCUCAACCCUGGGAUGCCGGUGGAUACUGUCGGGCUCGAGGACUGGAGAGGAGACUGGAAUUUACGGUGUAGCGGUGAAAUGCGUAGAUAUCGUAAGGAAGACCAGUGGCGAAGGCGGGUCUCUGGACAGUUCCUGACGCUGAGGCACGAAGGCCAGGGGAGCAAACGGG